rfam:Triticum aestivum genome assembly, contig: Triticum_aestivum_CS42_TGACv1_scaffold_328161_4BS
AAAGUACUCCCUCCGUCCCAAAAUUCUUGUCUUAGAUUUGUCUAGAUACGGAUGUAUCAAGUCACAUUUUAGUAUUAGAUACAUCUGUAUCUAGACAAAUCUAAGACAAGAAUUUUGAGGUGGAGGGAGUAGUUG